GCUAAACUUUGGGAGAGACAUAUCCAAUGAGUACCAGAUUCAAGGUGAAAAAUAGAAAACAUUACUGAUAUUUUAACAAUAUGCGUUGAAACCAUCUCAGAAGAUUGCAUUAUUCAUAACUUGAAGAUUAUUGAGAUAUUUUCAUGAAAUUAUCAAUAUAAAAUAAUUGUAUCUAUAUUGAAAUUUACUUAAGGUUUUUUAAUAUAUUUCCUAUUUUUAUAUUUUUGAAACUUAGAGUACGAGUAUGUUUAACAGACAGAACAAUAACAAACAAGGUUCUAAGAACAAACAUGGUUCUUUUUAUAAAUCAGAACAAAAUAUAUGUGCAUCAUUAGGUACGCUUCCUCUCCUAUUCAUUUUGAGCUGUGAAACCGGCAAAACUGUAUGUCUAAUAAAGUUGAAGAAUAAUAGGGUCCUAAAA